rnacentral:rRNA from 1 species
UACAGGGGGUGCAAACGUUGCUCGGAAUCAUUGGGCGUAAAGCGCACGUAGGCGGUUCGUUAUGUCGGAUGUGAAAGCCCUUGGCUUAACCGAGGAAGUGCAUCCGAAACUGGCGAGCUAGAGUACUAAAGAGGAUCGCGGAAUUCCCGGUGUAGAGGUGAAAUUCGUAGAUAUCAGGAGGAACACCGGUGGCGAAGGCGGUCUGCUGGGCAGUAGCUGACACUGAGGCGCGACAGCGUGGGGAGCAAACAGG